UACGGAGGGGCUAGCGUUGUUCGGAAUUACUGGGCGUAAAGCGCACGUAGGCGGCUUUGUAAGUUAGAGGUGAAAGCCCAGGGCUUAACCCUGGAAUUGCCUUUAAGACUGCAUCGCUAGAAUCGUGGAGAGGUGAGUGGAAUUCCGAGUGUAGAGGUGAAAUUCGUAGAUAUUCGGAAGAACACCAGUGGCGAAGGCGACUUACUGGACACAUAUUGACGCUGAGGUGGCGAAAGCGUGGG
rnacentral:rRNA from 1 species